AGCUAACUAGCUCAGUCAGUAGAGCAUGUGACUCUUAAUCUCAUGGUUGUGAGUUCAGAUCCCCAUGUUGGGUG
rnacentral:tRNA from 1 species